CUCACCAACUUUCCAAUUUUGGAUUUCAGUUUUAGUACUCUAAUGCCAGUUUGUAUUUGUAUUCUCUCAAUCUGGAGCAGCCAGGUUAUGAUAUAUAACUAAAGACCAGUGUGCCAAGUGAUCAAUGGUUAAGGAGUUGCAUGAAGCUGUAAAUGUGACCUGGUCACCUCUAGUCCAGCAGCUCACCAACUUUCCAAUUUUGCUUGGAUGCAGGAACAGCUGCUCAGCAGUUGGAUGUCAGUUUUAGUCCUGUAAUGUCAGUUUGGAUUUGUAUUCUCUCAAUCAAUACCAGUGUGCCAAGUUAUCAAAGAUUGUCAUACGAUUAUUGUGGGAGCUGGUGGAACGAAUCCAGAUGGCAUUAUUGUGAGUUGCUGUAAUUAUGGAAAAAUGAAGAUUUACUCUGCUGACAAGAUGUUUGAGAACGACAGCAACUAUUUGAUUAGCGGUUCCGACAAACACGAAGGUCCUGUGAGAGCUCUGGACUUUCAUCCAUUUCAGUCUCACAGCGUUUUGUCAUUUAGGAUCUGAAAAUGAAUGAUAUGUCACACAGCUUCAGAAGAGGAUCAAACUUCAAUUAUUGCACAGUGGGAUUCGAGAUUUGCAAUCUCUCCGUGAAAAACAUUCCAAUGCCGUCGAAGGGAAGAGAUGCCCAUCGCCUGGAAUCCUUGUGAACCUGAACCUUGUAGCAAACAUGUCGAAGACUCUGAAGAUACUAAAC